UGAGGAACAUGACCUUCGGCGGGGGAUAGCCGGCCCAACGGCCGGGUAAUACCGCGUACGACCACAUGGGGACAUCCCUGAGUGGUGAAAGCAGCAAUGCGCCGAUGGAGUGCCUCGCGGCCUAUCAGCUAGUUGGUGGGGUAACGGCUCACCAAGGCAACGACGGGUAGCAGGUCUGAGAGGAUGGCCAGCCACAUUGGGACUGAGACACGGCCCAGACCUCCGUACGGGAGCAG
rnacentral:rRNA from 1 species